rnacentral:rRNA from 1 species
UACGAAGGGGGCUAGCGUUGCUCGGAAUUACUGGGCGUAAAGCGUGCGCAGGCGGUUAUGUAAGACAGUUGUGAAAUCCCCGGGCUCAACCUGGGAAUUGCAUCUGUGACUGCAUAGCUAGAGUACGGUAGAGGGGGAUGGAAUUCCGCGUGUAGCAGUGAAAUGCGUAGAUAUGCGGAGGAACACCGAUGGCGAAGGCAAUCCCCUGGACCUGUACUGACGCUCAUGCACGAAAGCGUGGGGAGCAAACAGG